GGUGUAGCUUAGUUGGUUAAAGCGCCGGAUUGUGGUCCCGGAGAUCGUGGGUUCAAGUCCCAUCUC
rnacentral:tRNA from 1 species